rnacentral:rRNA from 1 species
CAGAAACAUUCAGGCAAAGGGAACUUUAGUCUGGCACCCCGAAACUGAGUGAGCUACUCCAAGACAGCCUAUUAAUAGGGCGCACCCGUCUCUGUGGCAAAAGAGUGGGAAGAGCUUUGAGUAGAGGUGACAGACCUACCGAACUCAGUUAUAGCUGGUUGUCUGGGAACUGGAUAGAAGUUCAGCCUCCCGGCUUCUUCCCUCGACUUCGUCUUAACCCCUUACAGACCCCGAAGAAACCAUGAGAGUUAGCCAAAGGGGGUACAGCCCCUUUGAAACAAGAUACAACUUUACCAGGAGGGUAAAGAUCACAAUAAGAAAAAGUAAUAUGUUCUGGUGG